AAACAAUGCUUUAAAACCCUACUUGCUGGUCUCAACUGCUUCAAGCACAGCUCCUAUGAUACCAGCUCCUGGAAUGGGACACAGCUGCCUAACCAAACUUAU